CCGUUGGUGAACCUGCGGAGGGAUCAUU
rnacentral:rRNA from 1 species